rnacentral:lncRNA from 1 species
GCUUAUGAAAAGUUUUAGACAGAGCUGUUUUGGGCACCUGGUGGGCCUCCAUAAAAUUGCAUUUAGUGGUCAAAUUGUGCAUGCUCUGGCACUCCGGCGAGUCAGAGGACUUGGUGUGAAGGACAUGAUGGGCCUUAGUUAUGGAAUAGUGUCCAACUUGGUUCAAUUCAUUGUAAAGGACUUUUGUUUGAUAAGUUGUCU